AGAGUUUGAUCCUGGCUCAGAACGAACGCUGGCGGCGUGCUUAACACAUGCAAGUCGAACGCGAAAGGGACUUCGGUCCCGAGUAGAGUGGCGCACGGGUGAGUAACGCGUAAGUAAUCUACCCCCGCAUUCGGAAUAACUCGUCGAAAGGUGAGCUAAUACCGGAUACGUUUAUCUUGAUGCGAAUGAUGAUAAAGAAAGGUGGCCUCUUCAUGAAAGCUACUGUGCAGGGAUGAGCUUGCGUACCAUUAGCUAGUUGGUAGGGUAAUGGCCUACCAAGGCGACGAUGGUUAGCGGGUCUGAGAGGAUGAUCCGCCACACUGGAACUGGAACACGGACCAGACUCCUACGGGAGGCAGCAGUGAGGAAUAUUGCGCAAUGGGGGCAACCCUGACGCAGCGACGCCGCGUGGAUGAUGAAGGCCCUUGGGUCGUAAAAUCCUGUCAGAUGGAAAGAAAUGUAUGGGUGUUAAUAUCGCCUGUAUUUGACGGUACCAUCAAAGGAAGCACCGGCUAACUCCGUGCCAGCAGCCGCGGUAAUACGGAGGGUGCGAGCGUUGUUCGGAAUUACUGGGCGUAAAGCGCGCGUAGGCGGUUUGCUAAGUCAGAUGUGAAAGCCCUCGGCUUAACCGGGGACGUGCAUUUGAAACUGGCAGACUUGAGUACUGGAGGGGGUGGUGGAAUUCCCGGUGUAGAGGUGAAAUUCGUAGAUAUCGGGAGGAAUACCGGUGGCGAAGGCGACCACCUGGCCAGAUACUGACGCUGAGGUGCGAAAGCGUGGGGAGCAAACAGGAUUAGAUACCCUGGUAGUCCACGCCGUAAACGAUGAGAACUAGGUGUUGGGAUGGUUAAUCGUCUCAUUGCCGCAGCUAAC
rnacentral:rRNA from 1 species